UACAGAGGUCUCAAGCGUUGUUCGGAUUCAUUGGGCGUAAAGGGUGCGUAGGCGGCGCGGUAAGUCGGGUGUGAAAUCUCGGGGCUUAACUCCGAAACUGCAUUCGAUACUGCCGUGCUUGAGGACUGGAGAGGAGAAUGGAAUUUACGGUGUAGCGGUGAAAUGCGUAGAUAUCGUAAGGAAGACCAGUGGCGAAGGCGGGUCUCUGGACAGUUCCUGACGCUGAGGCACGAAGGUCAGGGGAGCAAACGGG
rnacentral:rRNA from 1 species